rnacentral:rRNA from 1 species
AGAGUUUGAUCCUGGCUCAGGAUGAACGCUGGCGGCGUGCUUGAUACAUGCAAGUCGAACGGAGAGUGUAGCAAUAUACUUUUAGUGGCGAACGGGUGAGUAACGCGUUGGUGACCUGCCCCGAAGCGAGGGAUAACAGUUCGAAAGAACUGCUAAUACCUCAUGUGAUCACCGGUUUUAGAAUCUGGUGAUUAAAGGUGAAAAUCACUUCGGGAGGGGCCUGCGUCCCAUCAGCUAGUUGGUAAGGUAAUGGCUUACCAAGGCGAUGACGGGUAGGGGACCUGAGAGGGUGGCCCCCCACAAUGGAACUGAAACACGGUCCAUACACCUACGGGUGGCAGCAGUAGGGAAUAUUGCAAAUGGGCGAAAGCCUGAUGUAGCAACGCCGCGUGUGCGAUGAAGGUCUUCGGAUUGUAAAGCACUUUUUGGAGGGAUGAGGAAGGACAGUACCUCCAGAAUAAGCCUCGGCUAACUACGUGCCAGCAGCCGCGGUAACACGUAGGAGGCAAGCGUUAUUCGGAUUUACUGGGCGUAGAGCGCGUGCAGGCGGUUUGGAAAGUUGGAUGUGAAAGCUCCUGGCUCAACUGGGAGAGGUCGUUCAAAACUUCCAGACUUGAGAGUGGUAGAGGGAGGUGGAAUUCCGGGUGUAGUGGUGAAAUGCGUAGAUAUCCGGAGGAACACCAGUGGCGAAAGCGGCCUCCUGGACCACUUCUGACGCUCAGACGCGAAAGCUAGGGUAGCAAACGGGAUUAGAGACCCCGGUAGUCCUAGCUGUAAACGAUGUGAACUUGGCGUUGGUGGGUUUAAAUCCAUCAGUGCCGAAGCUAACGCGAUAAGUUCACCGCCUGGGGACUACGGCCGCAAGGUUAAAACUCAAAGGAAUUGACGG